rnacentral:rRNA from 1 species
UUAAACUGAAGAGUUUGAUCAUGGCUCAGAUUGAACGCUGGUGGCAGGCUUAACACAUGCAAGUCGAACGGUAACGGGUUGAAAGCUUGCUUUCGACGCUGACGAGUGGCGGACGGGUGAGUAAUGCUUGGGAAUCUGGCUUAUGGAGGGGGAUAACCAUUGGAAACGAUGGCUAAUACCGCAUAGAAUCGGAAGAUUAAAGGGUGGGACUUUUUGCCACCUGCCAUAAGAUGAGCCCAAGUGGGAUUAGGUAGUUGGUGGGGUAAAGGCCUACCAAGCCUGCGAUCUCUAGCUGGUCUGAGAGGAUGGCUAGCCACACUGGGACUGAGACACGGCCCAGACUCCUACGGGAGGCAGCAGUGGGGAAUAUUGCGCAAUGGGGGGAACCCUGACGCAGCCAUGCCGCGUGAAUGAAGAAGGCCUUCGGGUUGUAAAGUUCUUUCAGUGGUGAGGAAGGUUGGUGUGUUAAUAGCACACUGAUUUGACGUUAGCCACAGAAGAAGCACCGGCUAACUCCGUGCCAGCAGCCGCGGUAAUACGGAGGGUGCGAGCGUUAAUCGGAAUAACUGGGCGUAAAGGGCACGCAGGCGGUAAAUUAAGU